rnacentral:lncRNA from 1 species
ACCCCUAUGAAGUAACGAACUGCACAUGAAGAAAUACUGCACUUACAAUCCCACCUUCCUCAGAUGUUGACAUACCUUUUUUUUUAUUUUUAAAUAUUGUUACUGUCGUUAAUUCUUAUUUUGUGGACGCAGUGUCAUUUGCUCUGCCUGAUUACAAUAAGGAAGAAACGGAAGAGAGAAGAGACAGGGGACAUUGUUCCUUAACAGCUUGACUUGUUUAUUGUGUGGGAAUUUAAGAGCAGUUCAUUUCUGCCAUGCAUAGAUAUAAGGAUUCAGACAUGUACAACCACCUGGAAUUUCUUGGCUUUGACCUGACAAGUUCCCCAGUCUUCAGGGAUGGUUGCUGUAGUUACGCCGACCAUCAUGUUCUCUUGUCUUCUAUGAUGUAAGUAAUUAACCCGAUAUUUUGGCCUUCAAACAGUCUAUCCUUUGUCUCCCCACCCCACCCCACCUCCUUUCUUGUUUUAUUUAUUUGCAUCAGAUUGUAACAUGCAUAUAUAUUACUAUCAUCUGAUAAUACUCAAGGGAAAAAAUAAAUAACUGGGACAGUCAAUGAGUCA